rnacentral:tRNA from 1 species
AUAGAAUAAUUUAAAAUAAAAUAUUAAUUUUGGAAAUUAACAAUCGAUUGACGUUCUAUG